rnacentral:tRNA from 1 species
CAAAUUAGAGCUUGAAUAAGUUUUUUAUUUACAUUAAAAAGAUAAUUUUUAUAAUUUAAUUUGA